rnacentral:rRNA from 1 species
CCUCGGGGGGCUGCAGUGGGGAAUAUUGGACAAUGGGCGAAAGCCUGAUCCAGCCAUGCCGCGUGUGUGAAGAAGGCCUUCGGGUUGUAAAGCACUUUCAGUGGGGAAGAAAGCCUUGGGGCUAAUACCCUCGAGGAAGGACAUCACCCACAGAAGAAGCACCGGCUAACUCCGUGCCAGCAGCCGCGGUAAUACGGAGGGUGCGAGCGUUAAUCGGAAUUACUGGGCGUAAAGCGCGCGUAGGCGGUCUGAUAAGCCGGUUGUGAAAGCCCCGGGCUCAACCUGGGAACGGCAUCCGGAACUGUCAGGCUAGAGUGCAGGAGAGGAAGGUAGAAUUCCCGGUGUAGCAGUGAAAUGCGUAGAGAUCGGGAGGAAUACCAGUGGCGAAGGCGGCCUUCUGGACUGACACUGACGCUGAGGUGCGAAAGCGUGGGUAGCAAACAGGAUUAGAUACCCCGGUAGUC